UCCAUAUAUCGGUCUAGUGGCUAGGAUACCUGGCUCUCACCCAGGAGGCUCGGGUUCGAUUCCCGGUAUGGGAA